AUGAGUUUUUCAUUAAUUUUUCCCAAAAGAAUUGAAAAAUGAAAAGUUGACCUGGUGAGUUAGUUAGGGAGAGAAGAGAUCCAUUCUUCUUCUUCGUGAAGACCAUAAGCAGCAAAGAGACGAAGUCUCUGUUCUCCUCUCCUCCUCCAAGAUCUUAUUUUCUUUAUAUUUCUCAAAAUACAAGCCCAAAUUUGAUGCCGUUUUCAACCACGAGAUCCAUGAAACGAGCUCUAAAUAUCAAGCUUGAAGUGUUGUUUGAGUUGCUUAUGAGCUCGGGAAGCUAAUUUGACGAAUUGGGGACUCGAUUGAUACUUUUGGAAACAUAAACUGCAACCAUGCCUUUGAGAAGAGCCUUUGAAUCUGCUUCUGUAAGCCUGCUGCUUAACAAGUUGGCCAAUCAAGAUGUAAUUGAUUUUUUCCUCAAGUGGAAACUGGACAGCUCGCUCUUAACAAAGCUCAAGACAAAUUUGCACAUAAUUCAUGCAGUUCUCAAUCAUGCUGAGGAGAAGCAAGUCAAAGACUUAUAUGUCAAAGCUUGGAUUGAAGAGGUCAGGGUUGCAGCCUAUGAUGCUGAGGACAUUGUGGAUGAGCUUGCUAACGAUGCGCUUGAAUCG
rnacentral:sRNA from 1 species